rnacentral:misc_RNA from 1 species
UCCAUAGUGAAUAGUUGGUGUUCUCGUGUGUGGAGAGUGUCCCUAUGAACUUUGCGAAUUCGUUAUCGUUGUGCUCCUUUAUUUUGUUUUUUAUUUCCUUUGCAAGUUUGUUUAAGUUGUUUUUUGUUUUCUCGGGUUCUGUAUUUUUGCCAUUUUGCUUUUGCUUUUCUUUUUUCUUUGAUUUUGUCGAGUAUUUCUUGCGGGAUUGUUAUUGUUUGUCUGCUGGUUGGUUCGGGAAUAGUGGUUGUCCUUGCUGCUUCCU